GCCCGUAAGUAACGGAGGAAGGUGGGGAUGACGUCAAGUCAGCAUGGCCCUUACGCCUUGGGCUACACACACGCUACAAUGGGUGAUACAACGGGUUGCGAGAGAGCGAUCUGGAGCUAAUCCCUAAAAUCAUCCUCAGUUCGGAUUGCAGGCUGAAACUGCCUGCAUGAAGUUGGAGUUGCUAGUAACCGCAGGUCAGCACACUGCGGUGAAUACGUUCUCGGGCCUU
rnacentral:rRNA from 1 species